CGUGCUCACUCAAUUUGAGGUCAUGAUGUGACGUCAUCGUCUAGAGUUCACUCGGAGUCGAUUCUACAUACAAGAGUGAAGCAAACGUGGCCUGCCUUAUCCUGCCAUCAUAUAUCAGCCUGAUUUCUGUUGUCUGUCUCAAGGACAUCUGCAUUGUGGAAAAAUGGAUCAGAGUAAGAAACCGUCCGACAAGAAACCAGAGACAUCUGAGAAGAAAGACGCUGGUGUUCAAGACCCCGGUCCCCAGGGUCACCAGGAGAUGAUCCACCUGCCAGACCACCACAAAGCUGAUGUCGAACAUCACGUGACUGAUGAGGGGGAUUGGGUCUGCGAUGACAUUCCGGGCAUGAUGUAACCAUGGCAACCGACUGCAAGACAUUUGCUGCUUUUUGAUUGGUUGGCUAAUUAGUCGCUAUGAUCUAAUUAGUCCCUUUCUUGAACUCGAGUCUGGUACAUGUACAUUGUACAGUACAUGUAAUCCCUUUGUUGGAAGAUAUCAUAUGGACAUUUGAAAAGUGUGAUAAUUUGAUAUAUGCGAGUCGCCAAGGCUUUAGGAGAAGAACUUAGUUUAAGCCUGGUAUCCAAAGCUAUCAUAGCUAUCAAGUCACGUCUGUCCUCUCCGCAAAUGAGAGGCUUGUAGAAGGUAUCACUAACGUAACGACACUUACUGUUGCAAUAGAAGUGCGCGUUUUCGAAUUCAAACGAUGAAAAAAAAUGGUACCUUUCGAAACAAGUAUAAAUGAAUAAUUAUAACCGUCAAAAGGGCAAGUGUACUUUUUUGAUUAGCAUUUCAUUUGGAAAUUGGGGCAAAAUGUUGAAGCAGACGUAUACGUUUUUUUCUUAAAUCAUCAAAAUUGUAACGUCAGGUAUUAAAUGAUCAGUCUUAUAGCUUCACACACUUCUGUCUCUUGCGUGGUGUCAAUUUUCAGUGAAAUAAACCAUGGUUUCAUAAACAA